rnacentral:tRNA from 1 species
UUACCGAGAGAGUAACAUAGAACUGCUAACUCUAUACUCCAUAUAUAAAAAUAUGGCUC